UCCAAACAACAAACUUGAACCUACAAUAGCCAACAUACACAGCAAGGAUCCGAAUGGCUCAAAAUCAAGAGAACAUACAGUCAAACUAAGUAGCCUCGCUAUGAAUAGCCAACACAUCAUAGGUCAAAGGACCAGUCACACCACUACAGCAUCGAUAAAAUCACUGACAAGUGAGUAGACAUCUAAGUGAUUUCUCGUAUUGGUUACGCUCAGUGCAAGUUAUUCUCUAACAACCACCUGCACUCUCACCCC
rnacentral:lncRNA from 1 species